AAAGCCCAAAUAUUUAUAAUUUUAUACCUGAUUCCUGAACCUCAGAACCUGAUACGGUGAGGUGAGCGGUUGAGACUUGAGAGAGGCGGAGAGCAGAGAAUCAGAGAGAGGCUGAGGCGGUUCAGCUGGAGACUAGAGAGAGGCGGAGAGCAGAGACUAGAGAGAAAGGUAUAAUAUUGAGGAUGGAAACACAGAAAAGUCCCGCUGAAAAACAGACUUCACCUGCUGCCACAACCCCACCACCUAUCACUUCAUGUCGAAAGAAGAAGAAUGAGCAAGCCACAUUCCUGGAGGAUGUGAAGGACCACAUCGAUGAGUUCAUCAAUGCAUCUAUGGAUGAACACAAAUCUUGCUUUAAGAAGACUGUCCAAAAGAUGUUUGGAAUGUCAAAGAUUGUUGCAGAGAGGAGUUCUGAAACUAAGGAAGUUGUAAGCACUCUGCCCCUUCAAACAACGGUUUCAGAUUAGAAUCUCUCCCCUCUGUUGAUAGCUUGCUGCUUGGUUUUAGAAACAAGAUUUUGGUAAAGGAUAACAAGUUGUGCCAUAUGUGACUGUUAAAAUCUUAAUCUGAAUAUCAUUCUUGGAUAUUAUGUAGAAGUUCCAUAAACAACAGACACUGUUCAUGAGCAUUAUGUGGUUUUGCUACUCAGGUCUUGUUUAGUGACUGCUCCUACUAAUUGUUGAAUCUAGUGGGGAAUCAGUUUGUUGUCGAAGCUAUUAUAACCUCUCUGAAGCAUAUUUGCCUAA